rnacentral:rRNA from 1 species
CAGUCGCCGCGGUAAUACGUAGGUGGCAAGCGUUGUCCGGAAUUAUUGGGCGUAAAGGGCUCGCAGGCGGUUUCCUAAGUCUGAUGUGAAAGCCCCCGGCUCAACCGGGGAGGGUCAUUGGAAACUGGGAAACUUGAGUGCAGAAGAGGAGAGUGGAAUUCCACGUGUAGCGGUGAAAUGCGUAGAGAUGUGGAGGAACACCAGUGGCGAAGGCGACUCUCUGGUCUGUAACUGACGCUGAGGAGCGAAAGCGUGGGGAGCGAACAGGAUUAGAUACCCCUGUAGUCCCUGUCUCUUAUAC